CUGAACCAGCCAAGUAGCGUGAAGGAUGAAGGCUCUAUGGGUCGUAAACUUCUUUUAUAUAAGAAUAAAGUGCAGUAUGUAUACUGUUUUGUAUGUAUUAUAUGAAUAAGGAUCGGCUAACUCCGUGCCAGCAGCCGCGGUAAUACGGAGGAUCCGAGCGUUAUCCAGAUUUAUUGGGUUUAAAGGGAGCGUAGGUGGACUGGUAAGUCAGUUGUGAAAGUUUGCGG
rnacentral:rRNA from 1 species